rnacentral:rRNA from 1 species
UACGUAGGGGGCAAGCGUUGUCCGGAAUUAUUGGGCGUAAAGAGCUCGUAGGCGGUCUGUCGCGUCUGCUGUGAAAUCUCAGGGCUUAACCCUGAGCUUGCAGUGGGUACGGGCAGACUAGAGUGCGGUAGGGGAGACUGGAAUUCCUGGUGUAGCGGUGAAAUGCGCAGAUAUCAGGAGGAACACCGGUGGCGAAGGCGGCUCACUGGUCCGGUACUGACGCU